UGGGGAAUUUUGGACAAUGGGCGAAAGCCUGAUCCAGCAAUGCCGCGUGUGUGAAGAAGGCCUUCGGGUUGUAAAGCACUUUUGUCCGGAAAGAAAUCCUUGGCUCUAAUACAGUCGGGGGAUGACGGUACCGGAAGAAUAAGCACCGGCUAACUACGUGCCAGCAGCCGCGGUAAUACGUAGGGUGCAAGCGUUAAUCGGAAUUACUGGGCGUAAAGCGUGCGCAGGCGGUUUGCUAAGACCGAUGUGAAAUCCCCGGGCUCAACCUGGGAACUGCAUUGGUGACUGGCAGGCUAGAGUAUGGCAGAGGGGGGUAGAAUUCCACGUGUAGCAGUGAAAUGCGUAGAGAUGUGGAGGAAUACCGAUGGCGAAGGCAGCCCCCUGGGCAAUACUGACGCUCAUGCACGAAAGCGUGGGGGAGCAAACAGGAUUAGAUACCCUGGUAGUCCACGCCCUAAAACGAUGUCAACUAGUUGUUGGGGAUUCAUUUCCUUAGUAACGUAGCUAACGCGUGAAGUUGACCGCCUGGGGAGUACGGUCGCAAGAUUAAAACUUAAAUGAAUUGACGGGGUCAUAGCUGUUUCCU
rnacentral:rRNA from 1 species